rnacentral:lncRNA from 1 species
ACGGUGCUGAAGGCAAAGAAAGAAUCUCCUGCCCCUCUUAAAGCCGAACUCAAGAAGGCAGUGUUGAAAGGUGUCCACAGCCACAAAAAGAAAGAAGAUCCACAGGUCACCCACCUUCCGGCGGCCCAAGACACUGCGACUCCGGAGGCAGCCCAAAUAUCCUCAGAAGAGCGCCCCCAGGAGAAACAAGCUUGACCACUAUGCUAUCACUAAGUUUCCACUGACCACUGAGUCUGCCAUGAAGAAGAUAGAAGACAACAACACACUUGUGUUCAUUGUGAAUGUUAAAGCCAACAAGCACUAGAUCAAACAGGCUGUGAAGAAGCUCUAUGACAUUGAUGUGGCCAAGGUCAACACCCCGAUUCAGCCUGAUGGAGAGAAGAAGGCAUAUGUUGGACUGGCUCCUGAUUACGAUGCUUUGGAUGUUGCCAACAAAAUUGGGAUCGUCUAA